GGACUACCAGGGUUUCUAAUCCUGUUUGCUCCCCACGCUUUCGAGCCUCAGUGUCAAUCAUGGUCCAGUAAGUCGCCUUCGCCUCUGGUGUUCCUCCUAAUAUCUACGCAUUCCACCGCUACACUAGGAAUUCCACUUACCUCUCCCAUAUUCUAGCUACACAGUAUCUCAUGCACUUCCAUAGUUGAGCUAUGGGCUCUCACAUAAGACUUAUACAGCCACCUACACUCCCUUUACGCCCAGUCAUUCCGGACAACGCUUGCCACCUACGUAUUACCGCGGCGGCUGGCAC
rnacentral:rRNA from 1 species